UUGGAGUGAAACGAAACCUGGUGUUAACGCUAUUAUUUACAUUUAUUUGGUUAAAUGUUUUGACCCCCAACCGGGAUCGUAUCUGGAAACUUUAACUGGACAUUCUGUCACCUUUCUGAAAAAGUUGCCAGCGAGAGUUGUGGACCCCUGGAAAGGAAGAAGAUCCUGUCAAACCUGGCUCAGCUGCUCCAGCAACAAUCCACAGUCUGUCCUGUAUUGAAGGCAACCACAAGAGGCCCGAAGUCAUCCUUUCUCGACAAAAACAUGGGUGACGACAGGACAGAUUGGGAAGCCGUGAUGGCGGCACAGAAGUUGAGGGAGAAGCUAUUUAUCCCAGACGGAUCAGGAGGUGUGUGACGGAGGUGUGGACGGUUGCUGCAGGUCAGUGACGUUGGCAGGCGCCAGGCAGGCCGGCCCACAUGGCUCGGGGACUGUGGGACUACAGACAGAUGGCACCUGGUGGGUGACAAACAAUUAACAAACCAACAAGAAUAGCUGGAUCGGCAGUAUACCCACAAGCACAGGAGAUAGCAAGAGAGCGGGUGCAUCUGUGCUCUGAACACUUUCACUCUUUACUUUUCCUCUCCCCGAGUCUUGUUUUGUGUAACAGUUGCAAUUUACCAAUGUGUCUUUUCCACAAAAACACUCUUGUUGUCGUGUCGCUAUAGAACAGUCUAAAUAAAGCAGUGUUG